GUCAAACCAAAUGAGUCAAAGUGAGCCUUUGGUGGACAAAGUUAACAGCAAAGGUAUGUACUUUUAUUUUGUAGGGCGUUCCCUCCCUCUUUUCACCGAUUGCUUUAGCCUUAGUCAUCAUUAUAUGUACUGUAUUCCAUCACCAUCCAUGAACUAGUUGUCCUAACCAAAUAAGAAUGCAGCGAAAGCAGAAUUCUUCUUCCACACAGCAAAAGACCACACUCCAUGGCAAACAAACCAAUAUCAAAGAGAAAGGAAUCAGGAUGCUAGUGAUUACACAGCAAGCUCUGUACAAAAAAAAUAAGGUUCCGGACAAAAUGCUGAUUGCUGGAUUGGAGAAAAACAAACCCAGAAUAAUAUUAUAAGAAAACAAGCCAAAGAAUGACACACUAAGCAAGCCAAUUUUUAUGUGCAAGUUUCAAAAA